AGUCGAGCGGUAGAGAGAAGCUUGCUUCUCUUGAGAGCGGCGGACGGGUGAGUAAUGCCUAGGAAUCUGCCUGGUAGUGGGGGAUAACGUUCGGAAACGGACGCUAAUACCGCAUACGUCCUACGGGAGAAAGCAGGGGACCUUCGGGCCUUGCGCUAUCAGAUGAGCCUAGGUCGGAUUAGCUAGUUGGUGAGGUAAUGGCUCACCAAGGCGACGAUCCGUAACUGGUCUGAGAGGAUGAUCAGUCACACUGGAACUGAGACACGGUCCAGACUCCUACGGGAGGCAGCAGUGGGGAAUAUUGGACAAUGGGCGAAAGCCUGAUCCAGCCAUGCCGCGUGUGUGAAGAAGGUCUUCGGAUUGUAAAGCACUUUAAGUUGGGAGGAAGGGCAUUAACCUAAUACGUUAGUGUUUUGACGUUACCGACAGAAUAAGCACCGGCUAACUCUGUGCCAGCAGCCGCGGUAAUACAGAGGGUGCAAGCGUUAAUCGGAAUUACUGGGCGUAAAGCGCGCGUAGGUGGUUUGUUAAGUUGGAUGUGAAAUCCCCGGGCUNCACCUGGGAACUGCAUUCAAAACUGACUGACUAGAGUAUGGUAGAGGGUGGUGGAAUUUCCUGUGUAGCGGUGAAAUGCGUAGAUAUAGGAAGGAA
rnacentral:rRNA from 1 species